rnacentral:rRNA from 1 species
AGUUUGAUCCUGGCUCAGAUUGAACGCUGGCGGCAGGCCUAACACAUGCAAGUCGAGCGGUUGACGGGAGCUUGCUCCCUGAUUCAGCGGCGGACGGGUGAGUAAUGCCUAGGAAUCUGCCUAUUAGUGGGGGACAACGUUUCGAAAGGAACGCUAAUACCGCAUACGUCCUACGGGAGAAAGCAGGGGACCUUCGGGCCUUGCGCUAAUAGAUGAGCCUAGGUCGGAUUAGCUAGUUGGUGAGGUAAUGGCUCACCAAGGCGACGAUCCGUAACUGGUCUGAGAGGAUGAUCAGUCACACUGGAACUGAGACACGGUCCAGACUCCUACGGGAGGCAGCAGUGGGGAAUAUUGGACAAUGGGCGAAAGCCUGAUCCAGCCAUGCCGCGUGUGUGAAGAAGGUCUUCGGAUUGUAAAGCACUUUAAGUUNGGGAGGAAGGGCAGUUAGCGAAUACCUUGCUGUCUUGACGUUACCGACAGAAUAAGCACCGGCUAACUCUGUGCCAGCAGCCGCGGUAA